rnacentral:rRNA from 1 species
UUGACGGGGGCCCGCACAAGCGGUGGAGCAUGUGGUUUAAUUCGACGCAACGCGAAGAACCUUACCUGGCCUUGACAUGCAGAGAACUUUCCAGAGAUGGAUUGGUGCCUUCGGGAACUCUGACACAGGUGCUGCAUGGCCGUCGUCAGCUCGUGUCGUGAGAUGUUGGGUUAAGUCCCGCAACGAGCGCAACCCUUGUCCUCAGUUGCCAUCGGGUAGGGCCGGGCACUCUGGGGAGACUGCCGGUGACAAGCCGGAGGAAGGCGGGGAUGACGUCAAGUCCUCAUGGCCCUUAUGGGCUGGGCUACACACGUGCUACAAUGGCGGUGACAGUGGGCAGCGAAGGCGCAAGCCGGAGCGAAUCUCCAAAAGCCGUCUCAGUUCGGAUUGCACUCUGCAACUCGGGUGCAUGAAGUUGGAAUCGCUAGUAAUCGUGGAUCAGCAUGCCACGGUGAAUACGUUCCCGGGCCUUGUACACACCGCCC